CCUACGGGUGGCAGCAGUGGGGAAUAUUGCACAAUGGGCGCAAGCCUGAUGCAGCCAUGCCGCGUGUGUGAAGAAGGCCUUCGGGUUGUAAAGCACUUUCAGCGGGGAGGAAGGCGGUGAGGUUAAUAACCUCAUCGAUUGACGUUACCCGCAGAAGAAGCACCGGCUAACUCCGUGCCAGCAGCCGCGGUAAUACGGAGGGUGCAAGCGUUAAUCGGAAUUACUGGGCGUAAAGCGCACGCAGGCGGUCUGUCAAGUCGGAUGUGAAAUCCCCGGGCUCAACCUGGGAACUGCAUUCGAAACUGGCAGGCUAGAGUCUUGGAGAGGGGGGUAGAAUUCCAGGUGUAGCGGUGAAAUGCGUAGAGAUCUGGAGGAAUACCGGUGGCGAAGGCGGCCCCCUGGACAAAGACUGACGCUCAGGUGCGAAAGCGUGGGGAGCAAACAGGAUUAGAUACCCGGGUAGUC
rnacentral:rRNA from 1 species